UAGGAGGCCUUCAGCCCCGUCAAUUGAAGGAGUCCUCUACACAGACAUUGUCUGCUGGACUGUCUCCAACGUUUACUCUCUUGCCAGGCAUGGACACAAAGAUGCGCUUGCGAGAACGAGGCCUUCAGCGCCAUGAAGUGAAGGACUCCUCUGCAUGGAC